rnacentral:rRNA from 1 species
CUCAGAACGAACGCUGGCGGCAAGCUUAACACAUGCAAGUCGAACGGAUUUUUGUCGUAGCUUGCUAUGAUAAAAAUUAGUGGCAGACGGGUGAGUAAUGCAUAGGAAUCUACCUAGUAGUAUGGGAUAGCCACUAGAAAUGGUGGGUAAUACUGUAUAAUCCCUGCGGGGGAAAGAUUUAUCGCUAUUAGAUGAGCCUAUGUUAGAUUAGCUAGUUGGUAGGGUAAAGGCCUACCAAGGCAGUGAUCUAUAGCUGGUCUGAGAGGAUGAUCAGCCACACUGGAACUGAGAUACGGUCCAGACUCCUACGGGAGGCAGCAGUGGGGAAUAUUGGACAAUGGGCGCAAGCCUGAUCCAGCUAUGCCGCGUGAGUGAGGAAGGCCUUAGGGUUGUAAAACUCUUUCAGUGGGGAAGAUAAUGACGGUACCCACAGAAGAAGUCCCGGCAAACUCCGUGCCAGCAGCCGCGGUAAUACGGAGGGGGCAAGCGUUGUUCGGAAUUAUUGGGCGUAAAGGGCAUGUAGGCGGUUCGGUAAGUUAAAGGUGAAAUGCCAGGGCUUAACCCUGGAGCUGCUUUUAAUACUGCCAGACUCGAGUCCGGGAGAGGAUAGCGGAAUUCCUAGUGUAGAGGUGAAAUUCGUAGAUAUUAGGAGGAACACCAGUGGCGAAGGCGGCUAUCUGGUCCGAGUACUGACGCUGAGGUGCGAAAGCGUGGGGAGCAAACAGGAUUAGAUACCC